rnacentral:lncRNA from 1 species
AUAAAAGAAGAACGAAAAAUAAAAGAACAAAGUUCAAUGAACUGUAAUAAAUAAAGAACACGGUAACAUACUUUCAAUAACAGCAUCACACAUUUUAAUUACCUUUUAAGUUUAAAUAAAAUAAAAUGAAUUCCCUUAAAUAGAAUAAAACAAACUGUAAUAGGCUAAAUAGAACAAGGUAACAUUAGUCUGGCUGGACAGCUCACAUUUCAAUAAACAAACUAUUUCUUUACAAAGUCAAACUUUCACAUAAAUAACAAUCAGACUGCAAGCUACCUACUUAGUCUACCUACACUCUUUUCAUGUUGUGUGCGAGGAAGAUGAGUUUGUACUACUGUGCAAUUUUUUUAUGACUGCUGUAUUCACAAGUAUUUUCCAAGCAAAUUAAGUGCACGUUUUUAUCAUGUGUAAAAUUACUGAUUAACAUGGCGGAUAAAAGCAGGUUCAGGCCUUUGUUUGGGAUCCGAAUUCUGGAACGAAGAUGUUGCACAAUGCGUACCUUGUUAUAUAUGCAAACAGUACCCGAAAACUCCAUCAUGUGACACAUGCCCACCCAUAGAGCCUUCGGAUUCCUGGAGGGUGGCAGCAAUUACCAGUUUAUCUGUCCUGGCAGCUGUAAUUGUUUGUGGAGCCUUGCUCAUAGGCGUUCUAGUACAUCAGUGCAGGUCCAAGAGGACCUUACGUGGUGAGAUGUUAACAUUAAAACAUCUUUUUAACAACAGACACUCUCUUUCAGAGCAGGACUUAAAACUAACUCAACUUUUUCUGUCCACAACUCAGAACCAAUUGAAGAGACAACAGGACCCCUUUAUCCAGUAUAGGUUCUUCAUAAGGUAGGGGUUGAAAAAUGCAGCACUUCUUAGGAUGCUUCGAAAUGCAUUAAGGAAAUUAGUUUUGUUCAUAUGCAAUUUUUUAAAUGUUUGCAGCUCAUGGAACUCAAGCUGACAGCAUAUGAAAACGGACUGUUACUCCAGUGAAUUAAUGCUCCAGUUGGUGAAACACUGGCUGGUACCUCAACCACAGAGUGUUCUAUGAGUAGCAUCUGAUUUGUCUAAUUUAUUACAUUAGUAGGCUAUGUCAUGCAUAGCAAAUGGUUUUGCACUAUAGCUGCACUGAGACCUUCCUUGUCACUCACUGUGCAGAAUAGGUUUGCAAGCCUUAGGUGCUAAGUGACAUCCUACAGACAGCAAGACAGCAUAUUUUAGAUUCCUUUUUUUUUUUGGAAAAAUGCUUCAGCAACAGGUUUUGUUACAGUUUUUGCAAAAAAUUGUGGCCAUUCAUAUUGCACUUAAGAAUGCAUUGUAGAUGCAUUUCCACCUGAACAUUUCUUGUUAGAUUUGCAAACACGAUAAACGUAAAUAACCAUAACAAGUUUAACAUAGCAGACUUGCCUUUAAAUAUGCCUUCUAAACAGACUUAGUAUGGCACAUAGCCAUUUGAAUGUAUUUGUAAUCUUUGUACAGUUUUAAUUAUCUAUUUUUAUAGUGUUGGAAUACUACGCACUGUAUAGAUGUAGCCCUUUGUACAACAAUAUUCUGACACUGACUGGCUCAGCAGCCUGUCUAUGUCAUUGACGAACAUUCUGGAGAUGUGGAGGCACUGAAGACCAGCGAAGACACAGCAGCCGAUGACCUGAAGAGUGAAGAGUCGCCACCUGACAUUAACAGAUUCUUUAAAAGAGCCGCAGGUGUCAGAUUCAGUCUUAGUUUUCCUACCUUUUUGCGCAUAAGAGAUUAGAUCGUUUAGUGUGAUAUUUACAUAUAUGUAUCGUGAUAUAUUUAAUCUCUCGUGUUUUAUCUUUUCAGCUUAGUAAAAUAUUUUGAAGAUGUGUGUAGCCAGCUUUGGGCAUUAGGAAAUGUAUAUAUUUAUAUGCAGCAGAUGCUGAGGAGUAAUGAAAUUAACUUGUUUGAAAGACUUCAAGCAUGUUUAGCUAAAGUAAAGGGUUAAUCUCACAAAAUCUGUGAGGAAAAGGUCACAUUUCAACCUAGAAAUUAUAUUUUGCUUAAAUAAUUUUUUUUUUUUUGCAGUGUUACAUUGUUUUCAAGAAAACUAAGCACAUUUUAUACGCCAAUUCUCAAUAAUACUUUAUGUACCUCAGUGCAAAUCACUGGCAUGUUUGUCAGAAAUCUAGAAACAUCAAGAAGCUAGUCCAGAAUCUUGAUAAACAUAAACCUGUGAAGCAUGCACAGCACUGUCACAGUCUUGAGUAAAGAUGGUUAUGUGUCUUUACUCGUUCACAAUUACUCCACAGACUGCAGAGGAAACCAUGCAUUUUAAUGCAUUAAAGAGACAACCAUUGUACUGUAUUUGUCUGUUUUUUGUUUUCUUUCCUAAAUGUGUUCUUAAAAGUAUCUAAUUUGGAGUCUUCACACCUGAAGAAACAAUAUGACAGCAGAAUGAUAAACCCAUCUACUCAUUUCUCAUUUGCAUAUUCUAAAAUAAUCAAUGUAAUCAUGCACUGCAACUGCAAGGAAUUCAAGCGUAAAAGAUACAAGGCUAAAAAUAAAAGCCAAAACACACUAUUAUAUAGUCUUUAUUCAGUUCAAGAAAGUGAGGGUAUCAACACCUACGGUUAAACAUCAUCUGCUUAUUAAGGUCCCUACUUGAGAAAGAGAAACAUUGAUCAUGUGAACAAAAAUAAAUAUUUAAUAUUUAAGAUAUACACAACUGAUUACAGGGAGUCUCAGUUGUCAGUUUAAGUUUUGUCAAAUGCAUUGAAACCAUUAAUACAUGAAGGUUUGCAAAUUCUACUCUUAGAUAAUGAGUAAGCACUGAUCUAUAGGCUUAAAAGGAAACCAUCUUACAAAUAAUUUAAUCCAAGUAGCGUGGUGAUAUGAAAUGGCACAUUGAAAUUCAAUCUGGCAUUAAAGACAGCCACAGAAGCCUCGAUGCUAAAAGCAUCAAGCUAAAUGUAUUUUCUUACAUUGCGUCUAUUAAGUUGCAAGACCUGAGCAUUUUAAAAAACAGUUGAAAAGAGUUUAGUCUGUGAAUUCCUGCCCUAAUAGAGCCCGACCGAUCAUGGACUUUUGUUUUUGUUUUUUUGUUGUGGGGGGUUCCAGUUAAUUUUUUUUGUGUUUCCUAAAUCNNNNNNNNNNNNNNNNNNNNNNNNNNNNNNNNNNNNNNNNNNNNNNNNNNNNNNNNNNNNNNNNNNNNNNNNNNNNNNNNNNNNNNNNNNNNNNNNNNNNNNNNNNNNNNNNNNNNNNNNNNNNNNNNNNNNNNNNNNNNNNNNNNNNNNAAUAGAGCCCGACCGAUCAUGGUACUUUUUGUUUUUGUUUUUUGUGGUGGGGGGGUCCAUUAAUUUUUUUUGUGUUCCAAAAUCUUGAACGUACUUCCACUUCAUAAAACAUUUACUAGAAAAGUAUGCACUAAGAAAACUGAAAUGUUUCUGUUGUUCUUUCAAAUAUGCUGUUGUGGAUGCUUCUAAAGAGGUAUUUCUUAAGUGUUUACAACCAUUAUCUAAUACUUACGUAAUCGACCAAUCUAGCAUUUAUCACACAUUUAAUACCAUGCAUAAUGUGUACCACAUUUAACAGUAUUAAAGACAAGAAAUAUGCUUACAUUUUAAAUAUUAAUAUAAGGUAUAAAUAGUUCUAUUUAAAUAAAUAAAUAUAAAUAUCUUUGAGAUUUUCUACAAGACAGGCCUAAGUGAAGGUUCCUGUUUAACAGCCUUACCAGUGUCAUCCAUUAUGAAACUGUAGGAACAUCAAGAGUAUGUUGGUCUUAAUGAGAUGAUGAUUACAGCACAUCUACCAUGAGCAGUAUGAUAACCUGAAAAUAUGGAAGCACUUAAUACAAACAUAAUUAGAAGGAUAGCAUGUAUCCUUUUAUCCCCAUAAUACCUCAAAAAUUAAUAAAAGCUUGUUUUGUUCCCCCUCCGAUCACGGCAAAUAAUCGGUCAGGCUCUUGAAGGCAGCACUAGGUAAGAGUCUGGACAGAAAUACUCAGUCUGAGACCUAUGGUAAGAGUCUGGACAGAAAUACUCAGUCUGAGACCUAUCAUCGUACCAAACAAUUUGUGCACUGUUUGGGGACACAAAACAAUAGAAAUAAAAUAAAAAAUAAAAACUCUAAAAUGGUCUCUGACAGGCACUGUCACUUAUUCUAACAUGUCUAGAGUAUUACUGUCCCUGCCAGAGGUAGUAUCUUAUCAAUGCCAGUCUUAAGUGUCCAUUAAAGAACAAUAUUUAAAAACACAACAGUAAAGGAGGCAAGUCUUGCCGAGAUUAGCAUCUGUGUGUGACACCAUCUGGACAAGUACAGCAGAAAACCUGAUGUUGUGCGAUUAUUGGCCUUGGGCCUUGGGUGGAGAAAGAGUCUUGUGAUAGAAUAUUGUUUUGAAAUCUUCCCUUGGAGC